rnacentral:rRNA from 1 species
AUGCGUCCCCAGGUCAGGCGUGAAU